rnacentral:rRNA from 1 species
AAUUCCAAACGAACUUGGAGAUAGCUGGUUCUCUCCGAAAUAGCUUUAGGGCUAGCCUCGCAAAGAGGAUGCUGGAGGUAGAGCUCUGUUUGGACUAGGGGCCCGUCAAGGGUUACUGAAUUCAGAUAAACUGCGAAUUCCAGACAUUUAUGUGCGGGAGUCAGACUGCGAGUGAUAAGAUCCGUAGUCGAAAGGGAAACAGCCCAGAUCACCAGUUAAGGUCCCAAAAUUCAUGCUAAGUGGAAAAGGAUGUGGAGUUGCGCAGACAACUAGGACGUUGGCUCAGAAGCAGCCAUCAUUCAAAGAGUGCGUAAUAGCUCACUAGUCGAGUGACGCCGCGCCGAAAAUUUACCGGGGCUAAGCAUGAUACCGAAACUGUGGAUGUGCGUUUAUGCACGUGGUAGGAGAGCGUUCUAGCGGCGGUGAAGCAUGACCGAGAGGACAUGUGGAGCUUCUAGAAGUGAGAAUGCCGGUAUGAGUAACGAAAGACAGGUGAGAAUCCUGUCCGCCGCAAGACUAAGGUUUCCUGGGGCAGGCUCGUCCGCCCAGGGUAAGUCGGGACCUAAGGCGAGGCCGAGAGGCGUAGUCGAUGGACAACAGGUUGAAAUUCCUGUACUGCACCGAAUCGUUAUGAGCGAUGGAGGGACGCAGGAGGCUAGCAGCGCGUGGUGCUGGAUACCACGUUCAAGCGUCAAGUCUGAGAGCGAGUCAAAUGCUUGCUCUCAUAAGGACAAGGCGUGAUGAGGAGCGAAAUUAAAGUAGCGAAGGCUGCGACGUCACACUGCCGAGAAAAGCUUCUAGCCAGAGACGGUGCACCCGUACCGCAAACCGACACAGGUAGUCGAGGAGAGUAUCCUCAGGUGAGCGAGAGAACUCUCGUUAAGGAACUCGGCAAAAUGGCCCCGUAACUUCGGGAGAAGGGGCGCUGGUCGCAAGAUCAGCCGCAGUGAAAAGGCCCAAGCAACUGUUUAUCAAAAACACAGGCAUCUGCAAAAUCGUAAGAUGAAGUAUAGGUGCUGACACCUGCCCGGUGCUGGAAGGUUAAGAGGAGAGCUUAGCGCAAGCGAAGGUUUGAAUUGAAGCCCCAGUAAACGGCGGCCGUAACUAUAACGGUCCUAAGGUAGCGAAAUUCCUUGUCGGGUAAGUUCCGACCUGCACGAAAGGUGUAAUGAUUUGGGCACUGUCUCAACGAGAGACUCGGUGAAAUUAUAAUACCCGUGAAGAUGCGGGUUACCCGCGACAGGACGGAAAGACCCCAUGGAGCUUUACUGCAGUUUAAUAUUGGGUAUCUGUCAAGCAUGUACAGGAUAGGUAGGAGCCGGAGAAGAUAGGACGCCAGUCUUAUCUGAGGCGCUGUUGGGAUACUACCCUUGCUUGACGGAUGCUCUAACUCAGGCCUGUGAUCCAGGCCGAGGACAGUGUUUGACGGGCAGUUUGACUGGGGCGGUCGCCUCCUAAAGUGUAACGGAGGCGCCCAAAGGUUCCCUCAGAAUGGUUGGAAAUCAUUCGCAGAGUGUAAAGGUAAAAGGGAGCUUGACUGCGAGAGAGACAACUCGAGCAGGUACGAAAGUAGGGCUUAGUGAUCUGGUGGUACCGUAUGGAAGGGCCAUCACUCAACGGAUAAAAGCUACCCUGGGGAUAACAGGCUUAUCUCCCCCAAGAGUUCACAUCGACGGGGAGGUUUGGCACCUCGAUGUCGGCUCGUCGCAUCCUGGGGCUGAAGUCGGUCCCAAGGGUUGGGCUGUUCGCCCAUUAAAGCGGCACGCGAGCUGGGUUCAGAACGUCGUGAGACAGUUCGGUCCCUAUCCGUCGUGGGCGUAGGAAAUUUGAGAGGAGCUGUCCUUAGUACGAGAGGACCGGGAUGGACGCACCGCUGGUGUACCAGUUGUCUUGCCAAAGGCAUCGCUGGGUAGCUAUGUGCGGACGGGAUAAGCGCUGAAAGCAUCUAAGUGCGAAGCCCCCCUCAAGAUGAGAUUUCCCAUUUCUUCAAGAAAGUAAGACACCUCAGAGACGAUGAGGUAGAUAGGCCGGGAGUGGAAGAGCCGUGAGGCUUGGAGCGGACCGGUACUAAUCAGUCGAGGACUUGACCAAAA